rnacentral:rRNA from 1 species
GAGUUUGAUCGUGGCUCAGGACUAACGCUGGCGGAAUGCCUCAUACAUGCAAGUCGAACGGCCCUUCGGGGCAGUGGCGGACGGGUGAGUAACGCGUAGAUAACGUACCCAGUACUGGAGGACAACAGGGGGAAACCCCUGCUAAUACUGCAUAGGACCCCACGGUGAAACUCCUGGUGUUUAAAGCUUUGUCGGUUCUGGAUCGGUCUGCGUCGGAUUAGCUAGUUGGUAGGGUAAAGGCCUACCAAGGCGACGAUCCGUAGCUGGUCUGAGAGGAUGAUCAGCCACAGUGGGACUGAGACACGGCCCACACUCCUACGGGAGGCAGCAGUAGGGAAUAUUGCGCAAUGGGCGAAAGCCUGACGCAGCAAUUCCGCGUGGAGGAUGAAGUUUCUUGGAACGUAAACUCCUUUCGGUGGUGACGAUAAUGACGGUAGCCACAGAAGAAGCACCGGCUAACUACGUGCCAGCCGCCGCUGUAAG